UGGGAGCUGAAGAUUUACGGGGUUCUGACCUUCCCCCCACUUUUGGGGUCUUAAGGAUUCUGCCCCCCAUUUUUGGGGUCCUGCCCCGUUUUUGGGUUCCCCAUUUUCGGGGUCCUGCCCUCUUUUUGUGGUUCUCUCCCUGUUUGGGCUCCCCAUUUUCAGGUUUCUCUCCCCAAUUUUGGGUUCCCCAUUUUUGGGGUCCUGACCCAUUUUCAGGUUUCUCUCCCCAAUUUUGUGUUCCAAAUUUUCAGGGUCCUGCCCCAUUUUGGGUUCCCC